GACGUAGGGCGCGAGCGUUGUCCGGAAUUAUUGGGCGUAAAGAGCUCGUAGGCGGCUUGUUGCGUCGACUGUGAAAACCCGUGGCUCAACCAUGUGGUCUGCAGUCGAUACGGGCAGGCUAGAAUUCGGUAGGGGAGACUGGAAUUCCUGGUGUAGCGGUGAAAUGCGCAGAUAUCAGGAGGAACACCGGUGGCGAAGGCGGUCUCUGGGCCGAUACUGACACUGAGGAGCGAAAGCGUGGGGAGCGAACAGG
rnacentral:rRNA from 1 species